GGAGGUUUAGUACAGUGGUAGUAUAGUAGUCUCCAAAACUAAUGAUAAGGGUUCGAUUCCUUUAACCUCCGCCA
rnacentral:tRNA from 1 species